UACGUAGGGUGCAAGCGUUGUCCGGAAUUAUUGGGCGUAAAGAGCUUGUAGGCGGUUUGUCGCGUCUGCCGUGAAAAUCCGAGGCUCAACCUCGGACUUGCGGUGGGUACGGGCAGACUAGAGUGUGGUAGGGGAGACUGGAAUUCCUGGUGUAGCGGUGAAAUGCGCAGAUAUCAGGAGGAACACCGGUGGUGCAGACGGCUCUCUGGACCGUAACUGACGCUGAGACACGAAAGCGUGGGGAGCGAACAGG
rnacentral:rRNA from 1 species